rnacentral:rRNA from 1 species
GACGAACGCUGGCGGCGUGCUUAACACAUGCAAGUCGAACGAUGAAGCCGGAGCUUGCUCUGGUGAAUUAGUGGCGAACGGGUGAGUAACACGUGAGUAACCUGCCCUUGACUCUGGGAUAACUGCUAGAAAUGGUAGCUAAUACCGGAUACGACCCUCGGAGGCAUCUCCAGGGGGUGGAAAGAAUUUCGGUCAAGGAUGGACUCGCGGCCUAUCAGCUAGUUGGUGAGGGAACGGCUAACCAAGGCGACGACGGGUAGCCGGCCUGCGAGGGUGACCGGCCACACUGGGACUGAGACACGGCCCAGACUCCUACGGGAGGCAGCAGUGGGGAAUAUUGCACAAUGGGCGCAAGCCUGAUGCAGCAACGCCGCGUGAGGGAUGACGGCCUUCGGGUUGUAAACCUCUUUUAGUAGGGAAGAAGCGAAAGUGACGGUACCUGCAGAAAAAGCACCGGCUAACUACGUGCCAGCCGCCGCAGUAA